UACGUAGGCAGCAAGCGUUGUUCGGAGUUACUGGGCGUAAAGGGUGCGUAGGUGGCUCUAUAAGUAUGGUGUGAAAUCUCCCGCUUAACUGGGAGGGUGCGCCGUAGACUGUGGGGCUAGAGUGUGGGAGAGGAAAGUGGAAUUCCUGGUGUAGCGGUGAAAUGCGUAGAUAUCAGGAGGAACACCGGUGGUGUAAACGGCUUUCUGGACCAUAAACUGACACUGAGGCAACGAAAGCGUGGGUAGCAAACAGG
rnacentral:rRNA from 1 species